rnacentral:rRNA from 1 species
AGAGUUUGAUCCUGGCUCAGGAUGACCUCUGGGGGCGUGCCUAAUACAUGCAAGUCGAACGGGGUUGUUGUAGCAAUACGACAACUUAGUGGCGAACGGGUGAGUAACGCGUUGGUGACCUGCCCCGAAGAGGGGGAUAACAGUCCGAAAGGAUUGCUAAUACCCCAUGUGGUUAUCGGGAUCAGAAUCUGAUAACUAAAGUCGUAAGACACUUUGGGAGGGACCUGCGUCCCAUCAGCUAGUUGGUAAGGUAACGGCCUACCAAGGCUAUGACGGGUAGGGGACCUGAGAGGGUGGACCCCCACAAUGGCACUGAAACACGGGCCAUACACCUACGGGUGGCAGCAGUAGGGAAUAUUGCUUAAUGUGCGAAAGCGCGAAGCAGCAACGCCGCGUGUGCGAUGACGGCCUUCGGGUUGUAAAGCACUUUUUGGAGGGAUGAGUAAGGACAGUACCUCCAGAAUAAGCCUCGGCUAACUACGUGCCAGCAGCCGCGGUAAAACGUAGGAGGCGAGCGUUAUCCGGAUUUACUGGGCGUAAAGCGCGUGCAGGCGGUUCGGCGAGUUGGAUGUGAAAGCUCCUGGCUUAACUGGGAGAGGUCGUUCAAUACUGCCGGACUAGAGAGUGGUAGAGGGAGGUGGAAUUCCGCAUGUAGUGGUGAAAUGCGUAGAUAUGCGGAGGAACACCAGUGGCGAAAGCGGCCUCCUGGCCCAUUUCUGACGCUCAGACGCGAAAGCUAGGGUAGCAAACGGGAUUAGAGACCCCGGUAGUCCUAGCUGUAAACGAUGUGAACUUGGCGUCGGCGGCUUCAAAACCGUCGGUGCCGUAGCUAACGCGAUAAGUUCACCGCCUGGGGACUACGGGCCGCAAGGUUAAAACUCAAAGGAAUUG